CAGCCGCCACGGUAAUACGAAGGGUGCAAGCGUUACUCGGAAUUAGUGGGCGUAAAGCGUGCGUAGGUGGUGGUUUAAGUCCGUUGUGAAAGCCCUGGGCUCAACCUGGGAAUUGCAGUGGAUACUGGGUCACUAGAGUGUGGUAGAGGAUAGUGGAAUUUCCGGUGUAGCAGUGAAAUGCGUAGAGAUCGGAAGGAACAUCUGUGGCGAAGGCGACUAUCUGGGCCAACACUGACACUGAGGCACGAAAGCGUGGGGAGCAAACAGGAUUAGAUACCCCUGUAGUCCCUGUCUCUUAUAC
rnacentral:rRNA from 1 species